rnacentral:rRNA from 1 species
CCUACGGGGGAGGCAGCAGUAGGGAAUCUUCCGCAAUGGACGAAAGUCUGACGGAGCAACGCCGCGUGAGUGAUGAAGGCUUUCGGGUCGUAAAACUCUGUUGUUAGGGAAGAACAAGUGCUAGUUGAAUAAGCUGGCACCUUGACGGUACCUAACCAGAAAGCCACGGCUAACUACGUGCCAGCAGCCGCGGUAAUACGUAGGUGGCAAGCGUUAUCCGGAAUUAUUGGGCGUAAAGCGCGCGCAGGUGGUUUCUUAAGUCUGAUGUGAAAGCCCACGGCUCAACCGUGGAGGGUCAUUGGAAACUGGGAGACUUGAGUGCAGAAGAGGAAAGUGGAAUUCCAUGUGUAGCGGUGAAAUGCGUAGAGAUAUGGAGGAACACCAGUGGCGAAGGCGACUUUCUGGUCUGUAACUGACACUGAGGCGCGAAAGCGUGGGGAGCAAACAGGAUUAGAUACCCUGGUAGUCCACGCCGUAAACGAUGAGUGCUAAGUGUUAGAGGGUUUCCGCCCUUUAGUGCUGAAGUUAACGCAUUAAGCAUUCCGCCU